AUUGAACGCUGGCGGCAGGCCUAACACAUGCAAGUCGAACGAGUGGCGGACGGGUGAGUAAUGUCUGGGAAACUGACCGAUGGAGGGGGAUAACUACUGGAAACGGUAGCUAAUACCGCAUACCAUCGGAUGUGCCCAGAUGGGAUUAGCUAGGAGGUGGGGUAACGGCUCACCUAGGAGACGAUCCCUAGCGGGUCGGAGAGGAUGACCAGCGACACUGGAACUGAGACACGGUCCAGACGCCUACGGGAGGAAGCAGUGGGGAAGAUGGCACAGUGGGCGCAAGCAUGAUGCAGCCAUGCCGCGUGGAUGAAGAAGGCCUUCGGGUUGUAAAGUACGUUCAGCGAGGAGGCGUUACUCGGAGAAGAAGCACCGGCUAACUCCGUGCCAGCAGCCGCGGUAAUUC
rnacentral:rRNA from 1 species